UACGUAGGGGGCAAGCGUUGUCCGGAAUCAUUGGGCGUAAAGCGCGUGUAGGCGGCUCGGUAAGUCCGCUGUGAAAGUCGGGGGCUCAACCCUCGAAUGCCGGUGGAUACUGUCGGGCUAGAGUGCGGAAGAGGCGAGUGGAAUUCCUGGUGUAGCGGUGAAAUGCGCAGAUAUCAGGAGGAACACCAAUUGCGAAGGCAGCUCGCUGGGACGUGACUGACGCUGAGACGCGAAAGCGUGGGGAGCAAACAGG
rnacentral:rRNA from 1 species